AAAUUACCCGUUAUCUUCAAUCAAAAACAGUAGCCCACCAAUGAAAUUAGGUCAUCGGAGGAAAACCCAACGGUUUUCGAUCUUCUCCUAAAAAACACAUACAUAGAAUCAAAUUCCUAAACCACGCCUUUUUUCCACCAUCCAUAAAAAAAUAAACACAAAAAAUAAAACUUAAACCUUACAUUACACUUUGAAACCACCACCGAAGGAAUUUAAUAAAACAAGAAUUAGAGUCCCACAACCAAGUAUUGAAAAGAAAUUUUUUAGAAAAAAAGUCAACAAACAAUAGAAGAAGAGAAAAAAACAUCAAGAACCAAAAUUGAAUAAUGGAAUUUAAAAAAAAAGAUGAGAGGCUUGGGGAUAAAGUUGAGGGAUUUUAGGAGUAAAAUUA
rnacentral:lncRNA from 1 species